rnacentral:lncRNA from 1 species
CGAGUUUGUACCUUUGAAUAAACACUUCAAAGUGGUUGCCAAAGAAACCUUUAUGGAACCAUUACCUUCAGUAUAACAAAUGUUUGCUAAAUAUCAGAAUUUAUUGUUCCAAUACAGAGCAAUGCAAUGGGUUUGCAGUUGGAAUAUGGCUUAUUGAAGACUGAAUGUAAGAACAGGAGACUUCUAGUCUCCAUCUGUGCCCUGGAUAUCCCACAGCAUUCCUUACCCAAAUCCCACAAGGAGAGAGCUGGUAUUCUAGGAGUGCUGUCCCUCCUAAGCUCACAGGUGAGACCACCACUUUUGCUCCAAUAACUGUCUAAAGAAAGACCCAACAGGAGCUCAAAGGACACAGAAACCACGAAACAGUCAGGGGCAGGGCCUUUCCAGUUUUCAUCAGUCCCCCAGAUUUAACCCUGUGACACAACAUUUGACACCAAAAUCCCACCUGAAACUGGUCUCCCAUGAGUGCUGACACACAUAAGAUCACAGGCUCACAGCCCCACAGGAGGGACAAGCUCUAGUCAGAGACAGCAAGACCAAAUAACCCCAGGGACAACCAGAUGGUGAGAGGCAAGCACAAGAACCUAAGCAACAGAAAAGAAGCCUACUUGGCAUCAUCAGAACCCAGUUCUCCCACCACAGUAAGUCCUGGAUACCCC